UCGCUUCGCCUUCAACUCUACCCUCCUUCUCUCUCCCGAUAUCCUCAUCUCUCUCUCUCCACCGCUGCCUUUCUUCCCGUAGGAAUCCCCUCUUCCUUUCGAGGUCAAAGGUCGCAUAUUUAUGAGCUGGAUCUGUGGGUAACGACGAUGGUGGCGUCGGCGAGUCCGGUCGGGGUACCAUUGAGCCUCUUCAUCGACCUGUCCGGGCUGGAGGCCGCCACCACCGGAUUUUCUGACAGCAAUCUGCUCCACCGCGACGGCUUCCCCAUCUUUGAGGCAAGCAAGCACCUCACAACCUCCUUUUCUCUGUGCGCUUCACUUCACCUAAAUUCACAGGGUGUGCUGGAGAGCGGGCACGAGAUUCCGGUGAAGAGUUUGUCCCUGGAAUCGCGGCAGGGGGUGCGCGAGUUCCUCGACGAGGUGCGGCUGCUGCUGAAGGUGCAUCAACGGAACCUGGUCUCCCUCGUCGGCUGCUGCACCUCCUCUGCCGCCCGGGCCAACGGCUCGACCACUUCCUCUUUGUGGCGGCACCGACAAGCUCAAGGACUUUGAGGCCCAGGGGCGCGCCGUCACCCGAUUCUGGCACCACAACGUCCUCCGCCUCCGGAGAAAAAAGAGGCUGGAGAUGAUGUUUCAUCACCUUCAGCUGGUAGUGCUGUUGUAGAAGAAGCAAAUGGAAUUGCAGGGGCUAGAUCCCAUGCAAACAAUGUGGACAAUUGGACAUGAACUCAACAGUAAGUGCAGGAGCCAGAAUUGGAUGUGGAGGGCCAUUUUCUUCUUCCAGAGGAGCACAGUUAAGGUCUGGCAGGACCAUUUCUGACAAAUUAAUGUUGGGGCACCGGAGAACUGUUGGGGCCGAGGACAAGCUGCUACUGAUGGGCCAGAGGAGAAGCUGCUCCUGCUGAUGGGCAGGAGAGAAGUUGCUGCUGAUGGGCAGUGGAGAAAUUGCUGCUGGUGUGGCGAGGAGAAGCCGGUGAGUCUGGAGUACCAUAUUAAUGCGGUGGGUCACCAGUGUUGCAGGACCGGAGUAGAAACGGAGAAUCACAGCAAGGCUACCGCCACCGCCACCGGCGCCACCGCC